GAUGAACGCUAGCGGCAGGCCUAACACAUGCAAGUCGAGGGGUAGAAGUUUUCGGACUUUGAGACCGGCGCACGGGUGCGUAACGCGUAUGCAAUCUGCCUUACAUUAAGGGAUAGCCCAGAGAAAUUUGGAUUAAUACCUUAUAGUAUAUUGAUGUGGCAUCACAUUAUUAUUAAAGAUUUAUUGGUGUAAGAUGAGCAUGCGUCCCAUUAGCUAGUUGGUAUGGUAACGGCAUACCAAGGCUAUGAUGGGUAGGGGUCCUGAGAGGGAGAUCCCCCACACUGGUACUGAGACACGGACCAGACUCCUACGGGAGGCAGCAGUGAGGAAUAUUGGUCAAUGGGCGCAAGCCUGAACCAGCCAUGCCGCGUGCAGGAUGAAGCAUCUAUGGUGUGUAAACUGCUUUUGUACGGGAAGAAACACCUCUACGUGUAGAGGCUUGACGGUACCGUAAGAAUAAGGAUCGGCUAACUCCGUGCCAGCAGCCGCUGUAA
rnacentral:rRNA from 1 species